rnacentral:lncRNA from 1 species
UUCAACCUAAAAAAAAAAAAAAGCCAUGGUCGGAUCUGACACAAAGAAAUGGUAGAACCACAUACAUGGCAGCUCCCCAGCAGACCGAGCUCUGGUACCUUCAGAUCAGCAGGAAGGCCUCCAGUACCUGUGUGGGACCAGCAUGCAGCCCAGCCCUGCUUCCAUCACAGCCUCCAUCCUCGCAACGGCAGCAUUCACAAUUUGCACAAUGAAGCUGACCCAAUCAAUCCUAUGCUCAGAAAUAAGAUGCUGCCAGGCCUUCCUCUCCAGGCACCUCUCCUCCAACUAGCACCCCAAUCACCGCAGUUCAGCCACUCCUAUAUCCUCUGAUUUUCCCUAUGUUUCACAGAAGAGACCUUUUCAGCAACAAAGCCGAGGCAGCUGGCGAGAGAUGGCAGGACUCCCCAGAUAAUGUCAGAGCGGUGGCAGCUCCGUGGAAGUCCCCACAUUUCUGACUGUGGCUGUGGUUAUGGCUCAGCUCCUGGGGGAAAUCGGAGCCCAAGCCCAAAUAAAACACACAACAUUUCCUGAACCAAAGGCCCUGGAUUUCUCCCAUCCUCAGAUGUUCCUGGCAUGGUAAGCACAGCACUGGUGCAACUCAGCACAGGACGAGUGCUGGGGCCUGCCCCACUGACCUGCCCCAGCACUGGCUCUCAUUCUGUGUCUCUAAGCGUGCUGUCACUCUGCUGUGAUGAAUUCCCACUUCGUGAGCCCUCUUUGCUUAUCCCUCGCCAGCUGCUGGAAAGAAGCAGCCCUGCUUGCUGUCCCAAGCUCCUGUUGCAGGAGAACAGCAAGACGGUCUGCUUGUCUCUUUCCCAGCCAUUCCUCCCCAGAGGAAGGCUCAGCCUUUGCCAAAGCAGCAGCACAGUACUAACACAAUUCUCAUUAUUUUCACAGCUAUUCACAGGGAAGCUGGCGGCAGCAGGGACCGUCCGAGCGCUUUGCUCUGCUGUCACUUAGGGCUUUCUGCAGGCUGCUGGAGAGAAGCGUUACACUUGGCAUGAGGAAGGUUUCUUUGCCACAGCAAAGAGCUAAGAAAUGUGUUCUUCCUCCCACACAGAAGCCUGCAGAAAUAGAGGACGUCCCCCCUGCCGCCUGAGUCAAGCAAACAAACGGGUUAGUGAGCCCCAACUCUGAAGCUGACAGAAAUGUUAAGUUAGAGGUAUUACAACGACACUUCGCUUCACAUCCUCCUUGAAUCACAGUUGAAAUCACAGUUUUGGCAAAGGGGAAAAAGCUGCAGCUAGACGUGGAAACGCAAAGCUGUGCCUCAACCCAUCACAGAAGCAUUCGUACUUGGAAAGCCGGCGUCUGUUCCUCCACGGCUUCGGUGCGGCCGCAAAGAGCUCCGCAGUGGAGACGCGGUGAAGGACGCGGUCACCACGCCGAGCAGCUCCGCCACGCUGGGAAGCUCAGCCCAGGUUUUGCCACACUGCACGCGGCCUCCAACCCCUCACUCUCCAGUCGCAGCCCUACCUGCACUGAGGAACCAAUCGCCGAGAGAAAAGUUAGCUAUGACUAAAGCAGCAUACUCUGCAUAUCUCCGCUCCUCCCACACCUCGAUUGCAACGCAACCUGCCUCAGCCACCCUCUGAUCUCUCAUCUUUUGUCACUGCUCUCUGGCGACCUUUGAUAGGAAACUGAAUGGGGUGGCUGCUCAGAAGAGUCAUUCCCCACGUGAUGAUGCACUUGACAAGAGAGGAAGAAGGAGAGGAAGGAAAAUGGAGGCGAGAUAUCAGUUUUCCUGUCCGAAAUGCUCAGUGAACUUGUACUUUGCUGGCUCCCUGCUCGGAACACUGACUGAGGUCCCUCUGAGGAGCACAUCCCUCGUACAGCUGAUGAACACCAAGCCCUUCCCUCCCCCGCACACAAAAAAAACAUUCAUUAGAGCCACGUCUGCCUUCUGAGAGACGUGGGAGGAACAGUGAGACCCCUCACCUGCACAAAGCAGAAGUGAGGUUAAGAGUACUUCACUCUUCC